AAUAAUAAUUAAUUAAAUUAUUACUUAAAUGAGUUAACCCAUUUAACAACUCAACCAAUCAAAUUAAAUGAGUUAUGGGUUGACCCAACCCAUUUAACAAAAUGAGUUGGGUCAACCCAUAACUCAUUUAACCCUAAACUCAUUUGAUUAUGAGUUGAGUUGAGUUGGGUUACCCAUUUUGACACCCCUAAGCACUGCAUAAGUAUUUUCUUGCGUUUAUAAUA
rnacentral:sRNA from 1 species